rnacentral:rRNA from 1 species
CUACGGGGCGCAGCAGUGAGGAAUAUUGCACAAUGGGGGGAACCCUGAUGCGGCAACGCCGCGUGGAGGAUGACGCAUUUCGGUGUGUAAACUCCUUUUAUAUGUCAAGAAAAUGACGGUAGCAUAUGAAUAAGCACCGGCUAACUCCGUGCCAGCAGCCGCGGUAAUACGGAGGGUGCAAGCGUUACUCGGAAUCACUGGGCGUAAAGGACGCGUAGGCGGGCUUGUAAGUCAGGUGUGAAAUCCUACAGCUUAACUGUAGAACUGCACUUGAAACUACGAGCCUAGAGUAUGGGAGGGGCAGAUGGAAUUAGUGGUGUAGGGGUAAAAUCCGUAGAUAUCACUAGGAAUACCUAAAGCGAAGGCGAUCUGCUGGAACAUAACUGACGCUAAGGCGUGAAAGCGUGGGGAGCAAACAGGAUUAGAUACCCGUGUAGUC